AUCCGCGAGAGAGGCGCGCGCCCGCCACCGCUGGGGGCUCCAGCCGCCCGCCGACCCGGGCCUGGCAGAGGGGACGCGGCGCCCAAGCCGCUCCUCCGGAUGGCGACAGAGACGGCCUGACGCGCCCGCAGCCUGGGCCCCCCACGGGGAGGACGGCCGGGCCAGGUGAAGUUCGCGCACUUGGGCCUUCCGCGCCCCCAUCCACCGCAGCCAGGGCCUGGAAGGCUGGGGAGGGGGCGGGGGCGGCAGACGCCUCCUAAGGUGGGUUCUGGGACUUGGAUCCGGAGUUUAUUCCAAGGAGAGGGUGCUCUGGGCCUGUUCCCUAGGUGUGCCCUGUUACCCAAAAUCGGGCUUGUGCAGUGGGGUCCCUGAGUCCACUGGGAGCACAGCCUCAGACCCCAGCAGAGUCACCCUUCAUCGGAAGCCCACCACCCUGAGGGCUCCUCCUCCACCUGGGGCGGCACUGCCAGGCACAGGCACGCACUUUCCCUCAGUCCUCUGCCCCACGAUCACUCUACUCGGGCACCUCUGCCACUGCCUGGUCCUUGCUGAGCCAUCUCCUGGUUCAUCUCCCUGGAGUCCCUGCAGGACCGGCUCUCAGUGGCGUCUCCGGGCUCCCAGUCCCAGGACUGGUCCUAUCCAGCCCAGGAGAUACGCUCCCCAGUCCAGGAUGUCCAGAUGGCCCUGCUGCCUGGAGAGGCUCUGGCCCCUGCCGGGCUGGGGGCUUGAGCACCCCAGGAGAUUCUUUUGGCGCUGGAGACCCUUUUCUGAGGAGCCAGUAGAGGGCCUGCAAGUCAGAUUGAGCAACCAGGGAGAAGAAGCAUCAUCCCUUCAUCUUGAGGCCUGGUCCAGGGAGGUGAAGGGAUGUGGACUGUCCCCAGCCGUACACUCACCCACAACUCAUGCAUGCAAGCAUUCAUGCCCCAAUGCACACACAGCACCACACACACACAUAUUUUCCUUGAAUCUCUCUCUCUCUCUCUCACACACACACACACACACACACACACACACACUCUCCCAUCCACACACACACAACACUUUAGGAGAAACUGAGCAAAGAAAGGCAGCCUCUCACUGCGAGUCCUCUAACCCCCGUCCCAGUGGUUGUUGUGCACUGAAGCUUCCUUGCCAGGGGCUCUGACGGGAUUCUUGUGUUAAUAUGAUUGUGUCCAUGCUUGUUUUCUCCCAUCAAUUUUGAAUCCUGUUUAAUUAAAACGCUGACUUUCCUGUUUAGUAUCUUCUCAACUGCAGCUUCUCCCCGCUCUCUUUCCUGGCAGGGAGGUGAUUCUGCAGAAGUUGGGGCUCCUGACAACUUUGGGGUGGCCAUGAGGGACGUACCUCUUGCCUCUGGAUGUGCAGGAUUCCAAUUCAUCCUGUCCAUCCCGAACUCCUGUGCCAGACAUUCCUUCAUUCAACCUCUGUUUAUUGAGCAACUACUUGGGCCAGGCACUGGGACUGGGGAAGCCAACAAGACAUAGAUUUUCUGUCCCCCUGGAAAGUGACAGUCAGUUUGAGAAACAGACAAGGAAACAAACAAUUCCAGUGCAGUGUGGCAAGCGUCACGAUGGGAGGGAGAGGAGAGCACUCUUGGAGCACAAGAGAGGAGCAUUUACCCUAAAAUCACACUCUAGAACACAGCAAGGUGUGUGCCAGGGAAGGCUUCCAGGAGACUGGUUUCCAGGCCCUUUUGGUCCAUCCUUAGGACAAACACACACACACAUGCACACAUAUAUGCACAUACAUGAACACACACACGCACGUGAACACACAGGCACACACAUCCACACACACGCACAUACAUGCACACACAUGCUUUAACACACAUGCACACACGCAUGCACAAACAUGCUUGGAGUGAAACUUUCCGAAGCAAUAUUUACCCCAAAAAUACUCUGAUGUUUUCUAUUGUAUCCUAAUUCAUUUUUGAAAUGCUGGUUGCCCUCCCAAUAAUUUGGUUUAUAGUAAUUUUCUUUCUUUAAAAAAUAUGGUUUGAAGAGAGAUGCAGUCUACCUUGACUUUGGGAGGGUAUAUUGGAGGCUUCUUGCCAAAGGACAGGGGCUGUGGUGACAAUGGGGUGGCUGGGGAGGGCUCCCAAGCAGAGGAGAAGGGGUGCAGUGCGGUACCCGGCCUGCUGUAUCCAGGAACUCAGACACUGAGGUUUUUGUGCUCGCAACAUUAGGGCUAUGGCGGGGAACCUUGGGCUAUGGGAGAGCAGUGCCUGGUUCAUUACAUGCUGAAUAUUUCCAGAAAAAGGGAAUGGAAGGGGAGCCCUUGGUGCUUAUGACUUGGAGUCUAGAAUGGUGGAGAGUCUGAAAAUGGUGACGCUAGAAAAGGUGAAUUCUCCACCCCAGGUUACAAGUAGACGGACCUGAGGAGUGGGGAGGCAGGGGGGAGGUGUGGGGUCCGAGAUCAGAUUGAAGAGAUGGGGUCUCCCUGGGACAGCAACCUUGAGGUAAUUACAAAGACACCACCCCCGGGCAGCCCGAAGGCAAGGGCAGGUGCCUGGUCCAGCCCCAUCCCGGCCUUGUUUCCAGAGGCCUGGAGAGAGAGACCAAGAUGGAAAUUGAGGAUGGGGGGUGAGCGCAGCCUGAAUUCGGUUGCUAGGGAACAGAAAGCUCUGCUCUGGAUCGCAACACACGCUACGGAUUGACGAUUUUGUUGUUGUUGUUGAUGGGCUGGUUUUGAUUACUAGCCAGAACUGACAGGAGUUUAGAUUUUGAAACCUAAAUAAGUCUAUUAAGGAAUCACACCAUCACCUUAACUCCUACCCAAAAACGCAGGGGAUGGCAAUGGUGUAACCCUUGAGGGAGUCCUCGGCUCUCACCCCACACCAAGCCACCAGUCCUGGGACUGCUUCAGAGGCCUGACCCAUAGAAGGGGCAUCCUGCAUGGCGGGGCACCCAGGGUGUCGGAGGAGGGCAAUAGAAAAAGGGGCGUUACCCAGAGAGGAGGGGCGGCUGACCAGGGUGCGGACCCAGGCACGUACUGCAGUCAGGUGGCAGCCUCGCUGUCCUCCUGGGGAUGUGAGCCCACUGCUCGCUGUGUUCUGCUGUGGUCGGCGGGGGUGGGUUGUUCUCUCUCCACUCCUCCCUGCGGUGAGGGUGUUUUCUAUUUGCCAUUAGGUUGCGGGUGCCCAACUGACCAAGGGCUUGCUGAGAUACUGAAUUUGGAGCUGAAUGUUUUCACGGGGUGAGAUGUCAGGAUGUCCCUGCUGAUACAGUGGGAGAAAAAAUGUAUUUUAUGCAAGGCCAGCGCUAUCUCCUAAAGGAAGCACACAGGUCUCUGAACAGCAGGUCGCGAAAGGUGGGGGCUGUAGCGGGCUAUUGUGCCUGCUCUCCCAGGGAUCUGUGCCUCCCUCUGAAAACAAUUGCAGGCUUUCACCUUCCACACACAUAUCCCAUGUGCAUUUUACCAAGAGGUUACUCUGACAGCUGGGGGAGGACCCAGGUUGGCAGAGAGAAUUGAGCCAGCUUGGCAGUGGCUGGGAAGAUCCAGAUGAGAGCCGGGGUGGCUGGCUUCUCAGGAGCAGCUGUCAAGGCAGGGAUGUGGGGGGCUUGGCAGCUAUCCAGGAAGUAGAACUGACAGGCUAUGGGGACUCCGGAGUGGUGGGCAUGGCAGAGAUGUCCCAAGUGACUCCCCAGGCUUCUGGCUAGAGAACCUGGGCAUGGCUGGGUGUGGUGGUUCCCGCCUAUAAUUCUAGCACUUUGGCAGGCCAAGAGGAGAGGGUAGCUUGAGGCCAGGAAUUCAAGACCAGCCUGGGCAACAGAGCAAGACCCCCAUCUCUACAAAAAAUCAAAAAGUUAGGCAGCAUGGUGGCACACACCUGUAGUCACAGCUACUUGGGAGGCUGAGGUGGGUGGAUCGCUUGAGCCCAUGAGUUCGAGGCUGCAGUGAGCUCUGACUGUAUAACUGUACUCUGGCGUGGGCGA
rnacentral:lncRNA from 1 species